UGAUCUGCCCCUGACUUUGGGAUAAGCGUGGGAAACUGGGUCUAAUACCGGAUAUGACCAUUUGGUGCAUGCGCUUCUGGUGGAAAGCCUUGUGCGGUUGGGGAUGGGCCCGCGGCCUAUCAGCUUGUUGGUGGGGUAAUGGCCUACCAAGGCGACGACGGGUAGCCGACCUGAGAGGGUGAUCGGCCACACUGGGACUGAGACACGGCCCAUACUCCUACGGGAGGCAGCAGUGGGGAAUAUUGCACAAUGGGCGCAAGCCUGAUGCAGCGACGCCGCGUGAGGGAUGACGGCCUUCGGGUUGUAAACCUCUUUCACCAGGGACGAAGCGCAAGUGACGGUACCUGGAGAAGAAGCACCGGCCAACUACGUGCCAGCAGCCGCGGUAAUACGUAGGGUGCGAGCGUUGUCCGGAAUUACUGGGCGUAAAGAGCUCGUACGCGGUUUGUCACGUCGUCUGUGAAAUUCUGCAGCUUAACUGCAGGCAUGCAAGCGAUACUGGCAGACUUGAGUACUACAGGGGAGACUGGAAUUCCUGGUGUAGCGGUGAAAUGCACACAUAUCACGAGGAACACCGGUGGCGAACGCGGGUCUCUGGGUAGUAACUGACGCUGACGAGCGAAAGCGUGGGUAG
rnacentral:rRNA from 1 species